GACGAACCGUGCGAACGUUAUUCGGAAUCACUGGGCUUAAAGGGCGCGUAGGCGGGCCGCCAGGUCCGGGGUGAAAGCCUCCAGCUCAACUGGAGAAUUGCCUUGGAUACCGGCGGCCUCGAGGGAGGUAGGGGCGUGCGGAACUUCGGGUGGAGCGGUGAAAUGCGUAGAUAUCACUUGGAACGCCAAUGGUGAAAACAGCGCGCUGGGAAUGAUCUGACACUGAGACGCGAAAGCCAGGGGAGCGAACGGG
rnacentral:rRNA from 1 species